rnacentral:rRNA from 1 species
GAUGAACGCUAGCUACGUGCCUAAUACAUGCAAGUCGAGCGACCGGACGAGGAGCUUUCUCCUCUGCUGUUAGCGACGGACGGAUGGGUGACUCAUGCGUAACCUACCUGUACUACUGGGCUAGCUACGGGGGCCCGAGGCUGAUACCGACUAAUAUUUUUAACUUCAUGGUUCAAGAUUGGAACGCGAGGUUGCUGUCACUUAUAGAUGGAUCCGCACCGCAUUAGCUAGUUGGUAGGGUAACGGCUUACCAAGGCAACGAUGCGUAGCCGACCUGAGAGGGGGAUCGGCCACACUGGACCGGAGACACGGUACAGACCACAACGGGAGGCAGCAGUAGGGAAUCUACCGCAAUGCGCGAAAGCCUGACGGAGCAACGCCGCGUGAGUGAUGAAGGUCUUCGGAUAUUAAUACUAUGCUAUUAGGGAAGAACAAAUGUGUAAGUAACGAUGCACGUCUUGAAGGUACCUAAUCAGAAAGCAACGGCUAACUCCGUG